CAUGGCUGAAGUCUGCUUUAAGCAAACUUUAGACGCUAGGCCCUUUCACACUCAAGUAUAGAGCCUUGGGUGGAUAGGAAGCUUCAUGCAGAUUGGUAUAUCAAACAGUAAAAGAAAAUGAAGGUCAAGAACAGCUGUGCUUGGUCAGACCAAAAUGCUCAUCUAAUCCACCGUCAUGCCUCUGAUGUCCCUCUGACAGGGACAGGGUCACUGGCAGGCAUAGGAGAUCCUAGAGGUAACUGCUUGCUCUUGCAGUGUUAAAUCAAGUUGCUUUCAAGCCCAGAUUCAAGAGGAAAGUCUGUAUAACUCUGGACAGGUUUUACUGCUACAUAUGUACUUUUUGUCAUUCACAUAAAGAAAAUGUACUUAAAGGACUUCACUUUCGCAUCGUAAGGCCAUUAUGUUUCUUACCUGGACAUUUAUCAUCUGACUGAUAAUUAUAAUGACUGUUCUUUGUACCUGGAUUCCUUAGGGAGUGGGCCGUAGGUAAAGUCCCUUAUCCUCCUUAUGUGUUUAUAUCCCAUUAAUUUUAUUGAGAGUUAGGCAACUAAUUACAUGCCUGAAAACCUUUGAUAAGCUAGGCCUUUGUCUCUGCAAACAGAUGCUAUGGUGCUGAUAGCAUUGCAAUGGAGUGAAACUACAACAUGGAUAGUUUUGUGCGUAAGUGAGGAACUGGGCAUUGGAAAACCCAACUUUUUUUUUUUUUUUUUUUUUUACCUGAAUGUCCUACAAAGUACUCUGAAACUUAUUUUAAUUAUUCAAGCUCACCAGGUCCCAGCUCUUACCUAGACAUUGUCAGUCUGUUUUCAAGACAGCAAGUUUUGGUAGAAGGGUUGUGUGCUUUCUGGGGUCUGAAGAAAAGGAUGCUGCUUCUGGACCUUGGAAAGAUGUUUCCUGAGGAGGCAGCCGACGUGCCUGAGGGGAGGCUGAAUGCAGGAGGACUGGAAAAAAAAGGCACUCAGACUGUGACUGCACCUGGAAAAAACAACUUUAAGGAGGUGGGAAAGACUGCAGACAGUUUCCUGAAGGAGUGUGAAAAUGGCAUUUGCUGCAGAAAGUUGGAAUUGUGGAUACCCUGCAUCCUGAACCUGCUGCAGAAGAUCUGGAGUACCUGCAGGAGAGCGAAGACAGUAAAACUGCAUUCGUACUUCGUGGGAGUGAAUUACAGCAAGGACUUCUACCUGCAGCAACAACACCCAGGUUAA
rnacentral:lncRNA from 1 species